GGAAAUGGGAUAGGAGAAAAAAAUCCAUUUUCUGGGGAGUAAUUCAAGCCUGCUGCAGAAAUUUGCAUUGGUAAUGAGAAGGAUAAUGUUAAUAACCAAAACAAUGCAGAAAAUGUCUCUAGAGCAUGUCAUAGGCCUUCAAAUUAGCCCCUCCCAUCACAAGUUCAGAGGCCUAGAAGGGAGAAAUGGUUUUGUUGGCCUUGCCCAGGUCUCCCCUGCUGCCUCCAGCCUAGGGACUUGGUAUCCUGUUUCCCAGCUGUUCCAGCCAUGGCUAAAAAGGGCCAAAGUACAACUUAGGCCAUUGCUUCAGAGGAUGCAACUCCCCAGCCUUGGCAGCUUCCAUGUGAUGUUGGUCCUUUGGGUGUGCAUAGCACAACAAUUGAGGUUUGGGAACCUUUGCCUAGAUUUCAGAGAAUAUAUGGAAAUACCUGGAUAUUCAGGCAGAAGUUUGUCACAUGGGUGGAACCCUCAUGGAAAAUCUCUGCUAGGGCAGGGCGGAAAAGAAAUGUCAGGUCAGAGCCCCCAGACAGAGUCCCCAUGGGGGCACUGACAAGCAGAACUAUGAGAAGAGGGUCACCAUCCUUCAGAACCCAGAAUGGUAGAUCCGCCAACAGUUUGCUUCAUGCCCCUCAAAAAGCCACAGGUAUUCAAUGCCAGCCUGUGAAAGCAGCUGGGAGGGGGGCUGUACCCUGAAAAGCCACAGUGGUGGAGCUGCCUAAGACCAUGCGAGCCCACCACUUGCAUCAGUGUGACAGGCUAUGGGACAUAGAGUGAAAGGAGAUCAUUUUGGAACUUUAAGAUUUAAUGACUGCCCUGUUGAUUUUUGGACUUUCGUGGGUCCUGUAGCUCCUUUGUUUUGGCCAAUUUCUCCCAUUUGGAAUGGGUGUAUUUACCCAAUGUCUGUAUCCUAAAUGUAUCUAGGAAGUAACUAACUUGCUUUUGAUUUUACAGGUUCAUAGGUGGGAAGGACUUGCCUUGUCACAGAUGAGACUGUGGACUUGGACUUUUGCGUAAAUGCUAGAAUGAGGUCAGAGUCUGUAGGAACAGAACUUGAGAUUGGAAUUAAGUGCACAUGAUUUAUUGAGGGAACGCUCUCCGGUGAUUGCUAUACAGCUGUAAGAAAAGAAGGCAGACCCGGGUUCUGUCUGUUGCUUGCCCCAUCUGAUGUCCCUUUUCCAAGUGCACAUGGGUGGCACUAGAAGGUGGGGCCUUGGAGGUCUAAUUAGCUCAUGAGAGUGAAGACCUUGUGAAUGGGAUCAGUGCCUUAUAAAAGAGGCUGCAGAGAGCUAGAUAGCCCCUUCCACCAUGUGAUGAUACAGCAAGAAGUUGGCAAUUUGUAAUGGGAAAGAGAGCCCUCACCUGAAUCCAAGCAUGUUGGGACCCUAGUCGUGGACUUCCAAGCUUCCAGAGCUCCUCCAUCAGCUAGCAAAAGCAUGAUUGCUGGACAGCUGCCUUCAUAUUGAUGAAACCUCCUUCUCUCAGGCACAAGGCAGGUGGAAAGUGCUUGGGGGGGUGGGGAAUCCCACUGGAGGUAGCCCUUACCUAAUAUCUGAUGAGUAUAGCAAUAUAAGUACCCCAAAUCUCUCACUUCUUGGCCAGGGUAAUUCUUACAUAUUUGUUUUGCCAGAGACUAGUACUGCAAGGCUAAACUACAAUGUUUCACUGGUAUCUGAUUUAACAAUACUGCUUAGAUUGGCUGACUUCCCUCUCACCCACCUGUGUUCCUUGCAAUUUUCAAUAAAGUGUUUUCACUGGAAUCCUUGGCUCAAGGUCUACUUCUAUGGAAACCUGAACCAAGAUAAAAACCAAAAUCUGGCACAUCAGAUUAUUCUGUCUUCUGGCUUCAGUGACUAAUUUUGGAGACCCAGGCCUUUCCCUGGAAUAAUUAAAUAAGAGAUGCUUUCUUUCUGUUGGGAGUCCUUAGUAUAUGAAAUCUAAGCUGGUACUUUUCCUUAUCUUUUUACUACACAAGAAGAGCUUUUUGUGAGAACAAAGCUAACACUCAAGAAAAUCAUUUCAAGGAAUAGAGAAGAUUUUCUUGAUGGAUUCAGCCAUACUUGAAACUCUGAUUUACCUCCAGGCUUUUCAAUUAUGUCAUCAGGGAGCCUAUAAACUGAGGCUGAGUUUGACUAGCUUUUGCUCAGAGCUACAGGCUGGCAUCAACCUCGGAGCUACCUUUCAGAGAGAACAGAGUUGAUACAGAGCAUCUUUCAGAACUGUGAUUAAUGGCCUGGGAAAAUGAAGUAAAAUUGAAGUUCAUGUCAAGCUGGCCAAAAGAGAAAAUAACCUGAUACAAGAUGGUAAUAGAUGUGGCCCACUGAACUUACCAUGGCUCACAUUCCCAUCUGUGAGCAUCAAGGGAGCAAUAACAUUAUAGAUGAGCCACUUGUUUUUGGAAUGGAGCACAGCUGCUAUCUAAUGGCCCGGAGGAACCACAGCCUGAGACCAGAAGUGAAGGAGAAUACCUCAAUCUGAAGGUGAAAUCGAAGCAAGCAGAUUCUAGUGUUCCAAGAAUCAGUACUGGCCAGUCAUGAGGAUUAACAUCCCUUCUCUCAUUGACACUAUGCCAAGAGUUUUUGUUUUGUUUUGCUAAUUUUUUAAAAUGAGCAACAGCCUUCAGAUCCUGAGUUUAAAGGCCUGAUGCAGGCCUGAGUCAUUGGCACCGCUGUGUAACUCCUCUCUGUCGCAGGUGUGCUGCCGGGCUCCUCUGGGCCCAGCCAAACCCCCUCCCCUUCCUCCUCACUCCCCUCUCUCCACCUGACAAUUGUAAAAUUUAAGGAGCAGAUCCGCUCAGGGUGGUAUAGCUUCAGGCAUAUGAAUUCUUUCCGGGGCUCUUUGAGCUUGGAAGCAGUUUAAAGGUAAGAAGGUUUGAAGAGUGAAUGAGUUCCCAAGAAUAAACAUGUUUCAAAGGAA